rnacentral:rRNA from 1 species
CUACCCUUGACAUGUAUGGAAUCCUGCUGAGAGGUGGGAGUGCCCGAAAGGGAGCCAUAACACAGGUGCUGCAUGUUUGUCGUCAGCUCGUGUCGUGAGAUGUUGGGUUAAGUCCCGCAACGAGCGCAACCCUUGUCACUAGUUGCCAACAUUUCGGAUGGGGACUCUAGUGAGACUGCCUAGGUUAACUAGGAGGAAGGUGAGGAUGACGUCAAGUCCGCAUGGCCUUUAUGUCUGGGGCCACACACGUGCUACAAUGGUCGGUACAGAAGGCAGCAAGACCGCGAGGUGGAGCAAAUCCGUAAAACCGAUCUCAGUUCAGAUUGUAGUCUGCAACUCGACUACAUGAAGUUGGAAUUGCUAGUAAUGACGUGUCAGCUAUAACGUCGUGAAUACGUUCCC